UACGUAGGGUGCGAGCGUUAAUCGGAAUUACUGGGCGUAAAGCGUGCGCAGGCGGCUUUGCAAGACAGAGGUGAAAUCCCCGGGCUCAACCUGGGAACUGCCUUUGUGACUGCAAGGCUAGAGUACGGCAGAGGGGGAUGGAAUUCCGCGUGUAGCAGUGAAAUGCGUAGAUAUACGGAGGAACACCGAUGGCGAAGGCAAUCCCCUGGGCCUGUACUGACGCUCAUGCACGAAAGCGUGGGGAGCAAACAGGAUUAGAU
rnacentral:rRNA from 1 species